UGGAGCUGACACCUUUCACCUUUUUCUCGUCCUUGAACCUCAGGCCCUUCAACUGGAAGCAGCCUUGCCACAAGUGUGGGUAGCAGCAUUCCACCUACCAGCAGCGUCACCUUGGUGCCUGUGUCAUCAAGACAGCCUGCAAAAGCAGGGACCACCAUCAUUUUUCCUGAAAUCAGAACUACUGCAGAAGUUUCCAGCACAGGUCCCACCACAAUAGCAAGAAGCCAUACAACUGGGAUUCUGACAGAGGCUACAACUUCUGUACCAGAGAGUGCAAAAAGCAGGAGAAUAAUCACAGGUACUACUGAGGGCAUCUCUGGCAAAACCUCAGGACCUGGAAGUGCCACCACAGAGGCCACAUCUUCCCCAGAAAGGCCUGGUACGACUGGGACUGCACUGAAAACAGGUGAGAAUAUAUUAGUCUAUGAUUUGGGGUUAUCAUGCUGAGG
rnacentral:lncRNA from 1 species